CUCUUAUCCAGAGCGGUGGAGGGUACGGCCCUGUGAAACCGCGGCAACCUCCCAUCCCUUCCGUUUCAUGGCCGGAUGCGGGUGGGGCUGGUGCCAAGGCCGGCCCGGGUGGGGGAAACGCCCGGGGACGAUAAGAG
rfam:Thermus scotoductus SA-01, complete genome.